CUGACAAUAACAAGGGAGGCUCUUUACUCUGAGAGAGGCAGACGCUUCGUGAUGACGUCACUUCUAGACUUAAAGUGUGCUAAGGCACCCUGUCCUGAUGUAGGAGGACAGAGGAGGAGCCUUGGAAGACCUCUCCAGAGGACCCAGUUUCCGCUCCUAAAAUGAUCCCCAAAAGAUGCCAUCGCCCCCAGACAGCAGGAAGUAAUUUGAAGAACACAGAACCCACAUUCCCAAGAUGUAGGCUCCAGGACUGCAAACUAGAGCUUCACCCUGAGAUGGAACUAAAUCUGAGGCCUCUGUGUACAGCAGGGGGGCACAGUGAAGACUUUAAGUUGUAAAAAGGAAACCCAGG
rnacentral:lncRNA from 1 species